AACGAACGCUGGCGGCAGGCCUAACACAUGCAAGUCGAGCGAGGACUUCGGUCCUAGCGGCGGACGGGUGAGUAACGCGUGGGAACGUGCCCUUGGCUUCGGAAUAGCCCUGGGAAACUGGGAGUAAUACCGGAUGAGCCCUUGGGGGGAAAGAUUUAUCGGCGAAGGAGCGGCCCGCGUUGGAUUCGGUAGUUGGUGGGGUAAUGGCCUACCAAGCCGACGAUCCAUAGCUGGUUUGAGAGGAUGAUCAGCCACACUGGGACUGAGACACGGCCCAGACUCCUACGGGAGGCAGCAGUGGGGAAUCUUAGACAAUGGGGGAAACCCUGAUCGAGCCAUGCCGCGUGAGCGAUGAAGGCCUUAGGGUUGUAAAGCUCUUUCAGCUGGGAAGAUAAUGACGGUACCAGCAGAAGAAGCCCCGGCUAACUCCGUG
rnacentral:rRNA from 1 species